rnacentral:rRNA from 1 species
AGUGAACGCUGGCGGCAGGCCUAACACAUGCAAGUCGAACGAUGAAGCCCAGCUUGCUGGGUGGAUUAGUGGCGAACGGGUGAGUAACACGUGAGUAACCUGCCCUGGACUCUGGGAUAACCCCGAGAAAUCGGAGCUAAUACCGGAUAGGACCUUUCCUGGCAUGAGGUUUGGUGGAAAGUUUUUCGGUUUGGGAUGGACUCGCGGCCUAUCAGCUUGUUGGUGAGGUAAUGGCUCACCAAGGCGUCGACGGGUAGCCGGCCUGAGAGGGUGACCGGCCACACUGGGACUGAGACACGGCCCAGACUCCUACGGGAGGCAGCAGUGGGGAAUAUUGCACAAUGGGCGCAAGCCUGAUGCAGCAACGCCGCGUGCGGGAUGACGGCCUUCGGGUUGUAAACCGCCUUUAGUAGGGAAGAAGGGCUUCGGCUUGACGGUACCUGCAGAAAAAGGACCGGCUAACUACGUGCCAGCAGCCGCGGUAAGAC